AACGCAUAUUGCACCCUUUCGGGGGUAUGCCUGUUUGAGAAUCUAUAGUAUUCUUUUUUUUUUUUUUAUUAUUUUAAAAAAAAAAGAUUUGGCGCUUCUCAAUGAUUUUUUGAGUGCGCUUAAAACUAUAGCUUGGGGUCUUUUUAGAUGCCGUAGCAAAAUUGUUUGAAGCUUUUUUUCAAGCAAACCUUGCAAUUUAGUUACGGGAAAAAACAUCCAAAUAAACACCAACUACUAAACCAAGGAGGCCUAAACAAGCCCGAACCAUGGUCUCAAAUCAGGUAGGAGGACCCGCUGAACUUAA
rnacentral:misc_RNA from 1 species